GUGUAAGCAGUUCAACUACACGAUGAAGUGAGUAAAGGGGUUAAGACGGUUGCGUUGUGCGUGCGCUGCUUGCUUGCUGGUGAGUGUCGCCUCUGUGACUAGGUGUUCUUUGUUAUCUAUGCCCUCUAUAGUUUAAGGUGUUUGUUCUUUUAUGCAAUGCUCGCUCGCCCAAAGUAUGUACGAUCUUUACCAUAGUACAUUAGCUAGCUAUAGGAGAUGACAUCUUUGUGCUUUUCUUCUUCCUGAACACGCAUAUGGAUGUUUGUGCAUUGGAACGACAUGUCUUUCGGAUCAACUGUUCCCUGCUCUGACUUCGCCUUUUAAUUUGACUGAAUAUCUACUUACGCUCUCCAAGAUUGUUCCUGUGAGUUUCUUUAAAACCUAUUUGUGCACCUAGCUAGAUCAUACAGUUGUUAAUGUAUGGAGUUUUUUAUUGGGUCUGUUUAUCUCAGGGCUCUGACGCGCCGAUUUCGUUUAGACAAUUUUUAGAGCCAGUAUUUACUCCAGGGAAUACUCUUUAUAUUGUUCAAUCUCGGUGUAGGUCUAAUUUCUCGGAAACAGUUUCAGUCAAUGCUGGGCCGAAACCUCUUAAACUCGUUAAGUAGUGUUCUUGGAGAGUUGAAAUCUCAUUUCAUUGAUGAUGUAUUGCGCUGCCUGUUGGUUAAGAUGAAGCAAGGAGAAAACCAUUGACGAUGUAUUGUGAUGCAUGUUUCAGUCAACUUGUUGGACAACUGUACACGUAUGUGUUUUUUCAAGCCCACUGAUUUUAGCCUCUCCGUCUCCUUCAAGCCGGUGAGUAAUUAAUUGGUUAACUGAACAUACUAUUUGAGAAGGGACAAGGGAAGAAACCUCAACUAUUCCCCUUAGUUCAUGUUGUCUCUAAAAUUUACAAUUGUAUAUGUAGUGCUACCUGAAUUAAAUUCUGGCAACUAAGCUCAUGCAGUGCUUAAGAUUAAAUGGGAUAUAAUGGAAAUGCAGAUGAGAAGUUCAGGGAUAUUCCUGGGAGUGCCUAUUAUGUGGCUCCGGAGGUGCUGAAGCGGAUAUAUGGAGCCGAUAAUUGCAUAUGGAGUGCUGGAGUUAUACUCUACAUUCUGCUGUCUGGCAUUCCUCCUUUUUGGGCAGCAGGGCAGAUCCUCCUGUGAAGCAUAAAUUUCAUUGUAUCCAAGGAGAUAUCAAAUGCUGAAAACAUGGGACUCAAAAUGUAUAGAGAGUCGGAGACACUGCUAAACUGUUAUUUAUGGGUGUCUACCAAAUUCACUAUCAACCACUGUUGUAGGACCGGCGGCAUGUUAAAAUUUAUUUUGGUUUUAUUAGUCCAUGUAGAGAUGCUAUGCUCAGCUAUUGAUUUGACACUUGUGAUAUCCAAUUAUGGCUUGUAUGUUGCUCGAAGAUGCUCACAAGUCUGGUUGGGAAUGUUAACCUUACUCUUAGGGACCAUUAUUUGAAACAAUACUCUGUCUACUACUCCCUCCCAUGAUAUAGCUUAAAAAAUGUUCUUAUAUUAUGGGACGGCGGGAGUAUAUGCUAAGUUGUGUACUGAUGUAUAGAUAUCUGAUUUUGUUCAUUUUGCAUUAGGUUGGGAGGACAUAGACUAAGAGCUAUAUAUGAUGAUUCUACAAAAGAUAAUGUACCGGAAGACAUGAGAACUUUUAGUAUGCUACAGUGUAAAAAUAUUUGGAAUAUGGUAUGGUUUGUCGGACCGGAACCAAAGCAAGAACGAGAAGGAGCUUAAGUAGGGCCAUGUCGGGGUGUCGCCACAAUAGGAAAUUGUCGCUGGUGCUAGAUACCAGGGGAACCAAAAAAAUCUUUUUUCUACAAAGGUAACGAACUUUUUGGGUCUAGAGGGACCAAGAUGAGCAGGCCAUCAACAUCCUAUUCCUGCUUAUCUUUGUUUUCUUUGUAUCUGUAUUAUUAAUCUUGGUUUCAACUGGCGUGUUAAGUGCAAUCUUCCGGGUGCAAUCCUCAAAUAUAGGAUGUCGUACUAACCUUAAUUCAACAUCUGGAAUGGCUUAUGAUGGCAUGGGGUUCCAUCAUUUCGGCUGCUUGCGGCGGGGAGUGUGGCCGGUGCUUGCGGCAGCAGCGAAGCAGCGUGCGUGAGCGCAGUGUAGGCAGUGGCCAAAGGCUCAUCGGCCGCUGCGAGUACGCCGUUGGCACCAGGUUCAUGACAUUGUAAAAAAAAAAUCUUGAUUCAAUAUUCUUUCGUCAUUAUUCCUCUUUCAUGUUCUUGAUCCUUGAAGAUACUUGCUAGAUUUCUAGCUGAUAUUUUUUUGGUAGUAUAAGCUCGAUGUAUAUGGCCUGAAUAUGACCUGAUUCAGAGUACAUUGUGUUCUGAAGCUUUUUACUGUAUGGUUCUCUCUUGAAAGAAUUCAAGCCAUUGUUCAAUGGGAGAGAACAGUUGUAAUCCUGAAAUAAAUGUCGUACCUAUUCAACAGCUGACACAAUUGCCAGUGAGAUCAUUAUUUUCCUUUUUUUCAGGUUUUCAACAUCACAAAUUUCAUACUAAUGGAUUGGAGCUACCAAAAUAUCUAUUGAGGUAAAAUCACUAUAUACAUAUUGUAUUCCCCCAUUGCGUCAGGCGACACACAUCUGUUGCAAAGAAAUAGGCAUCACCUACGUGCUUGCUUUUGUUCGUUUCUAGCCGGCAAGAAUCCAUUGAGUCUUCCUCUAUGUGUGCAACCUUGCCAGCAUGGGAAUCAAUCAAGGUAGGGGCAGCCAACGUCAAGUAUGUGCAGUUUUGCCGGGAUCCAAUCUAUUGACUCCUUCAGCCAGCUUUGCACUAUGUGCACGACGUCCAUGCUCGAAAGCACUUUGCAAGUGGACCAUGCACGGCUCCACCGGCCUUGCGUCAACAAUUCAAAUCCUUAUCUUAUACUUUCUUUGUCUGAAAAAGCUUGUCCCAAGCUUGUCCCUUAAAUGAAUGUAUCUAGCACUAACUUGGUGCUAGAUACAUUCAUUUGAGGGACAAGCUUUUUCGGACGGAGGGAGUACUACUAGAUAGACACGUACUAUUUUUAUGCAAUUCUUAAUUUAUAGAAGCAGAAGAACUGAUUAUGUGAAUUGAAUAUAUAAUCCCAUGUGUAGGUGCUAUCCAAGUGUUGUGAUUAUUUAGCACACAUAACUUGCAGGGAGAUAACUCUAUAGUAUGAAGACUUUAAAAUACGAGUGCGUGUCGUUGGUGUUUUUGAAACCAUCUUCCAUCACGUCUAAUAUUUUUGUAUUUCAUAAUAGUAAUUGUUCAGCCUUUGACUGACAUAUGGAUGAUAUUUGUAAUAUAUAUCUUUCUUCCAUAUGACGGUAACAUUAUGAUGAAGGUGGAACCAUAGAGAGAUGUGUAUUUUUAAUUGAGAUGUUUUCAGGAGUACCUUUGUGAAGCUGAUAUAUCUUUCUUUUACAAGAUAUGUUGCACUUGCUUCAUCUACAUAGGCUGUCUGGAAUGCCAUGAGGCCGGGAUUGGUGUAGGAAAUCUUCAAAGCUAUUAUAUUGGUCUCAAGAAACUUGCAAUACAUCAAUGCGUUAUUAUUUUUAAUUUUUUUGCUGACACCACAGCUACCACCUCUUCACUAAAUGACAGAGGUUGCCAGCAACUGCACAUGGAAAGAUUUAAUGUUAUAUUAUGUCUACUAAUCAAUAAGGAGGGAGAUCAAAUUACUGCUCUCAAAUAUUCACCUGAUUGAUUUUGAAAAGAGGGUUAAAAAAUGGUGUUAUGAAUGAAGAUGGAUGGGGUUGAGGGCUGGGAGAAAGAUGUUGCAUUGCAAGAAGAAGUUGGUUAAGAAGACUGACGAUUAUGAGAAUGAAGGACACAAACUUUUGAAUUAGACCAAUUGUUUGAUCGAUCAUUUUUGUUCUCUUGAAAACGAUAUAUGGUCAAUUUUAGUAUUCUGAUGUGAUUGAAGAAUAUAGGAGGGACAAAGAGAUGUGCUAUUGCCAGGACAGUUAUGACUCUCUAUUAAGGUAUUCAGAUAUGAUUCUCUAUGGUCAUGCUUCUCCUAUUCACCUGGAAGUUUAUUGAUGGGAGGGAAGCCACUUCUGCUCUGAUGAUUUCUUGGAAGUUCAGCUAGGUGAAUUUACAAUACAAGUCAGAUUAUUUGCGAGAGAAUUUCAUUCCCUAGAAUCAUUGUCAUUCUUGUUACCUACAAGGUACUUGAAGAAAAUGCCCGAGACAUAUUUUAAGGAGUAUAAUUCAGCACUAAGGCUAUUAUUACAACGCUGGAAUCUUUGUUGUGGUAGUUAUGUCUCCAAAUGCGUCGAUCCCUAUCGGCUACUGAAGUAAACUUAUUUAUUUUUUCUGUGUCGAUUUCUAUUGGCUUACUGAUAGCUUAUUUAUUCUUUUCGAAUUUUAAUUCCUUGAUCUUUGCCUCUGCCCAUCUCCAUAUCACACAGAAGGUGCUCAGUGCAAUGCAUCAUGUAGUGAUUCCAUGAUAGGAAUUAGGAACUGCUCAUCAUUUGAAUGUUUCUACAAUUUUUCUGCUUGUUAGAACAUGUUUGAUGUACUUACACAUUAACAAAAAUGACCUGUAACAUUCAUGAAAAUA